UUCGCCCUUAGAGUUUGAUCCUGGCUCAGGACGAACUCUGGCGGCGUGCCUAACACAUGCAAGUCGAACGGAGAUACUCUUUCGGGAAUAUCUUAGUGGCGAGCGGGUGAGUAACGCGUGAGCAACCUGACCUUCAGAGGGGGAUAACCGCUGGAAACAGCAGCUAAUACCGCAUAAGACCACGACCCGGCAUCGGGAUGAGGUCAAAGGAGCAAUCCGCUGAAGGAGGGGCUCGCGUCCCAUUAGAUAGUUGGCGGGGCAACGGCCCACCAAGUCGACGAUGGGUAGCCGAGCUGAGAGGCUGAUCGGCCACACUGGAACUGAGACACGGUCCAGACUCCUACGGGAGGCAGCAGUGGGGAAUAUUGGGCAAUGGGCGCAAGCCUGACCCAGCAACGCCGCGUGAGGGAAGAAGGCUUUCGGGUUGUAAACCUCUGUCCUAUGUGACGAAGGAAGUGACGGUAGCAUAGGAGGAAGCCCCGGCUAACUACGUGCCAGCAGCCGCGGUAAUACGUAGGGGGCGAGCGUUGUCCGGAAUUACUGGGCGUAAAGGGUGCGUAGGCGGUAGCUUAAGUUGGAUGUGAAAUACCCGGGCUUAACUUGGGGGGUGCAUCCAAUACUGGGGUACUUGAGUGCAGGAGAGGGAAGCGGAAUUCCUAGUGUAGCGGUGAAAUGCGUAGAUAUUAGGAGGAACACCAGUGGCGAAGGCGGCUUUCUGGACUGUAACUGACGCUGAGGCACGAAAGCGUGGGGAGCAAACAGGAUUAGAUACCCUGGUAGUCCACGCUGUAAACGAUGAAUACUAGGUGUAGGGGGUAUCAACUCCCCCUGUGCCGGAGCAAACGCAAUAAGUAAUCCACCUGGGGAGUACGUUCGCAAGAAUGAAACUCAAAGGAAUUGACGGGGGCCCGCACAAGCGGAGGAACAUGUGGUUUAAUUCGAUGAUACGCGAGGAACCUUACCCGGGCUUGAACUGCGGUGGACCGGCACAGAGAUGUGCCUUCUCUUCGGAGCCGCCGUGGAGGUGCUGCAUGGUUGUCGUCAGCUCGUGCCGUGAGGUGUCGGCUUAAGUGCCAUAACGAGCGCAACCCUUGCCUUCAGUUGCCAUCAGGUUAUGCUGGGCACUCUGUAGGGACUGCCGCCGUAAGGCGUGAGGAAGGGGGGGAUGACGUCAAAUCAGCACGGCCCUUACAUCCGGGGCGACACACGUGUUACAAUGGUCGGUACAGAGGGAUGCCAGGCGGUGACGCCGAGCGGAUCUCAAAAGCCGGCCGUAGCUCGGAUCGGAGUCUGCAACUCGACUCCGUGAAGCUGGAUUCGCUAGCUAAUCGCAUAUCAGCCAUGAUGCGGCGAAUACGUUCCCGGGCCUUGCACUCACCGCCGGUCA
rnacentral:rRNA from 1 species